rnacentral:rRNA from 1 species
AUUGAACGCUGGCGGCAGGCCUAACACAUGCCAGUCGAGCGGAUGAAGGGAGCUUGCUCCUGGAUUCAGCGGCGGACGGGUGAGUAAUGCCUAGGAAUCUGCCUGGUAGUGGGGGAUAACGUCCGGAAACGGGCGCUAAUACCGCAUACGUCCUGAUGGAGCAAGUGGGGGAUCUUCGGACCUCACGCUCUCAGAUGAGCCUAGGUCGGAUUAGCUAGUUGGUGGGGUAAAGGCCUACCAAGGCGACGAUCCGUAACUGGUCUGAGAGGAUGAUCAGUCACACUGGAACUGAGACACGGUCCAGACGCCUACGGGAGGCAGCAGUGGGGAAUAGUAGACAAUGGGCGAAAGCCUGAUCCAGCCAUGCCGCGUGUGUGAAGAAGGUCUUCGGAUUGUAAAGCACUUUAAGUUGGGAGGAAGGGCAGUAAGUUAAUACCUUGCUGUUUUGACGGUACCAACAGAAUAAGCACCGGCUAACUUCGUG